CGAAGCUGCGGCAGCAUGUUUACAUGCUGGGUAGGGGAGCGUUGUGUAAGUGGAUGAAGGUGAGUUGUAAAGCUUGCUGGACAUAUCACAAGUGCGAAUGCUGACAUGAGUAACGAUAAUGGGAGUGAAAAACUCCCACGCCGGAAGACCAAGGUUUCCUGUCCCAUGCUAAUCAGGGCAGGGUAAGUCGGCCCCUAAGGCGAGGCAGAAAUGCGUAGUCGAUGGGAAACGGGUUAAUAUUCCCGUACUUAUAUAAUCAGUGAUGGAGGGACGGAGAAGGCUAGGCAAGCUUGGCGUUGGUUGUCCAAGUGAAAGUGAGUAGGCUGAAGACUUAGGUAAAUCCGGGUUUUCAAGGCCGAGACACGAGACGAGCUCCCAAGGGAGUGAAGUUGUUGAUGCCCUGCUUCCAGGAAAAGCUUCUAAACUUAUGAUUAUAUGAACCGUACCCCAAACCGACACAGGUGGUCAGGUAGAGAAUACUAAGGCGCUUGAGAGAACUCGGGUGAAGGAACUCGGCAAAAUUGUACCGUAACUUCGGGAGAAGGUACGCCUCUGUUUGUGAACACUUCGCGUGGUAAGCAAAUGGAGGCCGCAGUGACCAGGUGGCUGGGACUGUUUAUUAAAAACACAGCACUCUGCAAACUCGUAAGAGGACGUAUAGGGUGUGACACCUGCCCGGUGCCGGAAGGUUAAUUGAUGGGGUUAGUUUUCGGACGAAGCUCUUGAUCGAAGCCCCGGUAAACGGCGGCCGUAACAAUAACGGUCCUAAGGUAGCGAAAUUCC
rnacentral:rRNA from 1 species